UGUAAUGGAGCUCCCUGUACUCUGACCGAGUACCCUCUGUUGAUGGAUGCUCCUAGCGCUUCCUGAGGACUCCAAACACUGCAGCCGACACCACAACCACCGCAGACUCCACAACCGCCAUAGCUUAACUGGAGUCUCGCCGUCUUCCUUCCACCCUGGAUCAGCUUCUGUCCUCCAGGACCGUGUGGGGAAGACCUCUCCUCCAGGAGAGCGUAACAGG